GGGUUAGUAGGUAGGGCUAGUAGGUAGGGUUCGUAGGUAGGGUUCGUAGGUAGGGUUCGUAGGUAGGGUUAGUAGGUAGGGUUCGUAGGUAGGGCUAGUAGGUAGGGCUAGUAGGUAGGGCUAGUAGGUAGGGCUAGUAGGUAGGGUUCGUAGGUAGGGUUCGUAGGUAGGGUUCGUAGGUAGGGUUAGUAGCGCGUCUGUGCUGCUUCCACCUGGUGCUUCCUGUUCCCAAAUCACAAGGGCCUGAAGGUGGUCCCUGCUUUCUCUUUCUCUUUCUCUGUGUCUCAGAUGGCGAUUUUGCUGACAGCUGCCAAGAAAAUGCUUCACUCAACAGUCCUCAUGUGCCCAGAGAUGUUUAUAGAACUGUUUGAAUUGCAGCCAUCCCCUGCCCCCUCCCAGGCUGAAGAUCUGUUCUUUUUAAGUUGAUUCGGGAGUGGCAUUCUUUUAUACCCAAAGACUGUAGUGCAUCUUGAAGAGCUCAAAGCACAUGACCGCACAAAUGCUUACAGGGUUUCCUCCCGAGUAAUCCAAUCUCACUCCCCUUGUAAGGGAAUUCUGGGGCAGCUAUGGUUUGAGUAUGCAGUUUGCAUCGUGUUUCUACCUUUAGUACCUUGCCACUCUUUUAAAACGCUGCUGUCAUUUCCCAUUUCUUAGUACUAAUGAUUCUUUGAUUCUCCCUCUAUUAUGUCUUAAUUCACUUUCCUUCCUAAAUUUGUUAUUUGCAUAUCAAAUUCUGUAAAUGUUUUGUAAACAUAUUACCUCACUUGGUAAUACAAUACUGAUAGUCUUUAAAAGAUUUUUUUAUUGUUAUCAAUAAUAAAUGUGAACUAUUUAAA
rnacentral:lncRNA from 1 species